rnacentral:snoRNA from 1 species
CCCCUCUCAGAGUCACACCUGGAGAGUUUCCAGUCCUCUACCAGUCUCAGCUAUGGGAGGGAGAGUCAAGCAGAGGCCUAACCAUUCCAUUCCUAGCUUGGGCAGUGGCUAGCGAGUGGAAGGCAACCUGCUACAAGU